rnacentral:rRNA from 1 species
GCGUUGUCCGGAAUUAUUGGGCGUAAAGAGCGAGCAGGCGGUCAUACAAGUCAGAGGUGAAAUAGGCUGGCUUAACCAGGAGCGGUCGUCUGAGACUGUAAGACUAGAGUGCAGGAGAGGAAAGCGGAAUUCCCGGUGUAGUGGUGAAAUGCGUAGAUAUCGGGAGGAACACCAGAGGCGAAGGCGGCUUUCUGGCCUGUAACUGACGCUGAGGCGCGAAGGCUGG